rnacentral:rRNA from 1 species
AUUGACCGCUGGCGGCAGGCCUAACACAUGCAAGUCGAACGAGUGGCGGACGGGUGAGUAAUGUCUGGGAAACUGCCUGCUGGAGGGGGAUAACUACUGGCAACGGUAGCUAAUACCGCAUACCAUCGGAUGUGCCCAGAUGGGAUUAGCUAGUAGGUGGGGUAAAGGCUCACCUCGGCGACGAUCCCUAGCUGGUCUGAGAGGAUGACCAGCCACAAGGGAACUGAGACACGGUCCAGACUCCUACGGGAGGCAGCAGUGGGGAAUAUUGCACAAUGGGCGCAAGCCUGAUGCAGCCAUGCCGCGUGUAUGAAGAAGGCCUUCGGGUUGUAAAGUACUUUCAGCGGGGAGGCGUUACCCGCAGAAGAAGCACCGGCUAACUCCGUGCCAGCAGCCGCGGUAAUAC